rnacentral:rRNA from 1 species
UACGUAGGGAGCAAGCGUUGUCCGGAAUCAUUGGGCGUAAAGCGCGUGUAGGCGGCUCGGCAAGUCGGGUGUGAAAGCCCUGGGCUUAACCUAGGAAGUGCACUCGAAACUGCCAAGCUUGAGUUCUGGAGAGGAAGGCGGAAUUCUCGGUGUAGAGGUGAAAUUCGUAGAUAUCGAGAGGAACACCGGUGGCGAAGGCGGCCUUCUGGACAGCAACUGACGCUGAGACGCGAAAGCGUGGGGAGCAAACAGG